rnacentral:pre_miRNA from 1 species
GGCCGCCAUUUUGGAUUCAGGGUAUUGCGAAAUAAGUUGCCCCGUGUAGAUGCGUUAUUCUGAGAGAAAACCUUCUCGGAAUAACUGUUAAACAUCUAUAACAGUUAUUCUGAGAGAAGGGUUUUCUCUUGGAAUAACGCGUCUACACGGGGCACCUUAUUUCGCAAUACCCAGAAUCCAAAAUGGCGGCC